rnacentral:rRNA from 1 species
CCGGGCACUCUGGAGGGACUGCCGGCGACAAGCCGGAGGAAGGUGGGGAUGACGUCAAGUCAUCAUGGCCCUUAUGUCCAGGGCGACACACGUGCUACAAUGGCCGGCACAGCGGGAAGCGGAGGGGCGACCCUGAGCGGAUCCCUUGAAAGCCGGUCCCAGUUCGGAUUGCAGUCUGCAACUCGACUGCAUGAAGUUGGAAUCGCUAGUAAUCGCGGAUCAGCCAAGCCGCGGUGAAUACGUUCCCGGGCCUU